UAGCUGCUUGGGCAGCGUGUCCUGGAAGCAGCGGCCCAGGGGUUUCUGGGAGAGUGGUCGUUGGUGCUGAGGCUUGGAGUGUGGCAGCAGGUGCUGGGAAGGGGCAGGGCCCUCGGCUUUUGGCCCCUCGAUGCGGUGCACCUGGACAGAGGCCUCAGGCGGGUGGUGGACUCGAACAUUCACCACGGGGGGCGGGGCCUGCACUGAGAGCGGGGCACGGUGGCCUCAGGGCUGCUCAGUGCCAGGGUCGCCCAGCUGGGCUGCUCCAAGGCUGGCCUCUGCCCAGAUCCAGCCCCAUGCCAGCCCCUCUCCCCCGCCCAGAAUUUGCCCUUUGCUUGGUACCUUCUGCUGAUAUCUGUCCUGGCCCCAGGGGCACCAGGAAAGCCGCAUGCUGGGCAGGAGGCCCCUCCCCCUGCCCAGGAGGAUCGGCGAUCACCUGCACCGCGUAGAUGGCAUGCUUGCUGGCCACGGACUCGCCCUCUGGAACCAGGGGCUGCAGGGUGCCUGUGGACCCCGCCCGGGCCAGCCCUGGACCUGAGCCUCCUCCUGCACCGCCAGCUCCUCCAGCAGGCACCUGGCAGAAGCGGCCGGUGAAGUCGGGGGGACACAGGCACUGGUUUCGGGAGGAGCACUGGCCACCGUUCAUGCAGGGCAGAGGGCACACCACUGAGAAGGGGACAUGAGGUUCACAGCCAGGAAGCGCUGCCUGCCUAGCUGCACAGAACAGCACCUUUUUCUGCUGCCCCAAACCUCCAAUGAACUCAUCUCCCCUCCUCCCCAUGGCCCCCGCCCCUCCCCCAGCUCUUGCCAUGCCACCCAGACCCUCUGUCUCCCUGCUUCAUCCUACCUCUCCACAAUCCCAGCAUCCCCAGAGAAACCUACUUCAGGCAGAGCUCUGGCAGAACCCACACCAGCUCCAGACCUUGCUUGGACAUUCAAGGCUCUCCACAGCCCAGAACCCUACCAGGCCCCUCUGGUCUUUCCAUGUGCACUCUACAUCCCAGGGCUCACCUCCCUCCUGCCUGCCUUUCAUUCCACCCCAGGGCUCUGUCUCCCAUCUCCCCAUGUUCAAACCUGACCCUUCUGAGCUCAGCUUCUUCCCCAGGAAGGGAUCCCUUCUCACAUCCCACCUACCAUGUUCACUCUCCUGAGUUUCCUUGCUUAGUUAUAGUCAUGUCAGUCUCCCCCACUCUAUAGGGUACUUUGGAG
rnacentral:lncRNA from 1 species